UUUUCAAAGAAUCAUUGCUGUGGAGCUAAAGGCCCCCAACGACUGGAAUCUAAAUGUGUAUUUUAACUGCUCAAUGAGUAACCCCAGCAGAGAGAAAUGUGGAGGGCCCUUUUCCUGCUGCAUCAGCGACCCUGCUGAUACAGUGGUGAACACGCAGUGUGGAUAUGAUGUUAGAGCCUCUGGCACACCGUCACAAUGGAGCAACACCAUUAU